rnacentral:tRNA from 1 species
GCCUGGGUGGCUCAGUCAUUGAGCAUCUGACUUGGACUCGGGUAAUGAUCUCAUGGCUUGUGGGUUCGAGCCCCACAUCAGGCU